GCCUUCGGAGGCGGAAGAGGAAGAGGCGUUUUUUCUCUCCUGGCAGAAGCAGCGAAGGCGAGCCCUGGCUCUUGGGGGCUGCAAUGUCUGGACUGGCCCUGGAAGAGCUCUCGGCCAUUGCCGCCAUCUACUGCGGGCAGGAGGAGUGCGAGGUCCUGCGGGUGUCAGAGACUGAGGGGAUCUCAUUUCGAAUUCAGACCAGUGUGGAAGGACCUUUGGGCACAGAUGUAUUGUUAAAGCUGCUUUUUCAUUUACCGAGCAGUUACCCGUCAAGCCUGCCUAAUAUCUCUGUUGAUUCUGAGCAGCUUACAAGGACACAAUGUAUAGCUGUGAGAGGAAGAUUACUUGAGGAAGCAAAGAGACAUUUUUCACAACCCAUGGUACACGAGCUGAUUCUCUGGAUACAGCAGAAUCUUAAGCAUGUUAUCGAGCAAGCUGAAACUUCAGUCUGCUGCCAGAAAAGCACUCUAUCAACAUGCACCGCUGAGGAUGUCGCCGUCUGGACCAUCCUUUUGCAUUUAGAUCAUAUGAGAGCAAAGGGCAAAUAUGUCAAAACAGUGGAAAAAUGGUGUUUAGAUCUAAAUCUGACUGGAAGACUGAUGUUCAUGGGCAAGAUGAUUCUGAUUCUUCUUCAAGGAGAAAGGAAAAACAUUAAGGAAUACCUCAUCCUUCAUAAAACUAGCAAGGUGGACGUGGAUUCAAGUGGAAAGAAAUGUAAAGAGAAAAUGAUUAGUGUGCUCUCUGAAACAAAAGUGCAGGCGGAACACAGGAGGUUUCAAGAAUUUCAAGUCAAAGAGUAUUUGACUCUGGAUGAGCUGCAAAACGAAUUCAAGGUUGCAGGUCUCGCAGAACUGUUCAGUGAAUUUGUGCUAGAUCGGUUAAAGUAAAUUUAAAGAAAACACAUCUGGUUGUGACUAAAGCUGUCAUUGAAUAGAGCCGGUGGAUGCCAAGAGAAGACAAAAUGAAGGCUUUGGUAGUGAGCAGCAUUUAAAACGUUUCUCUAUUGCAAAAUGUCAUGGGGAAGAAAAGUCUUCUUCGCCAGAAACAAAAGACUGUUAUACAAGGAACAGACAAUGCUUUUGCCUGGUUGCCCUGACAUCUUCUUCAGUGUAUUUUUGCAGUUUCUCAUCGGUUGAUAUUUAAGAGCUGUAGGUCAGCUGUGAAAGACGAAUUUGUUCAGAGUGAGUGUGCCCUUGCCUGCUUCUGAGGGCGAGAGAAUGUGACAUCCCUAAACUUCCCAAGUGGUUUCCAUGGCUAAUCAAGGAUUUGGACCCCAGCCUCCAUUGUCAUAGUCCAACACUCAAACCAUGCCGACUCUACCAUUACAACGAUGAUUUUUUUGCCUUUUUUCCUGAGCAACUUUACACAAUGGAUUUGGUUGUCUACUUAGCCAUACUUCUAUGAAUGUUCUGCAGAUUUCUCAAACUGAAAAAAAAACUAUUUAUCAUACUCUUUCCAACAUCCAUAAUAAUGGUGAUGUCUGCUGUCCUGAUGUAUAUAUUAUAGAGGUAUGCUUACAUAAGAAAGUACUAUUAUUUAUUACUAUUUUAUUAUUUUACAUCCUGCCUUUUCCUCACCCCUGGAAUUCAGAGCAGCUUACAAAAAAUCAAGAGUUAUAGACAGAAGUUCAGAUCAAUGAAAACAUACAAAAUGUAAAUAUUACGGAAUUAACUAUAGAGUUAAUAACAGUUUAAAACCAAACUCAUUAAAAUGCAGACAAUCAAGUGCAUUAUUAAAAGUGUAGUUCCUAUGAGCCAGGCUUCUUCAACUUGUGGCUCUCUAGUGGUUUGGAUUUCCAACUCCCAGAAGCCCUAGCCAGCUUGUUCAAUGGUCUGGAAUUCUGGGAGCCGAAGUUCAAAACACUUGGAGGGCCACAGACUGAAGAGACCUGAUCUGAGGAGUUCCUAAAAGUCCUGCCAAGUAAAUAGCUGACAAACCAACACCUAAAUCUGUCAGAAGGGAACAUGAGCACGCUCAGCAAUCUAAUCUAAUCUAAUCUAAUCUAAUCUAAUCUAAUCUAAUCUAAAUCUAAAUCUAAUCUAAAUCUAAAUCCAUAAUAAAAGUGAAAACCCAUAUGUGUGUAUGUGACACAGGUGUCCGCUCACACAGACAGCCUCCAGCCUCCACAAACAGGCUACAGUUCCCAGUGCCAAGAAGCCAGCAAGUCACUCCUUUGCACUGACAUUGCGGUUACAGCGACCUCUAUGAACAUGCAGCCCAACCCCUGCCAAUGUCUUUCCCAAACACUACGCCCCCCCCACCCAAGGAAUGCUUUAUUUGGGGACCAUUUCAUCCUAAAUUUGGCAUUUUUCUCCACCACAGGCAGGCAUCCCAGGGUUCUCAAUUGCUGUGGAAUUUGCAUGGCCCCGCCCACUGCCCUUCCCUUUCAAAUCUGGCAGAGCACAAUUCAGCUGCAACUAAACUUACUGGAGGAGUUUGGGGGAUUGACUGCACAUGGUGGAAGUUGUAGUUCACCCUGCAUCAAGUCAGAGCACUGUGACUCCUACUAGGGAAUUUAGAGGAGUUGUAGUUCAUCAACACCCAGAACGCUAUGAACCCAAAUAAUGAUGGGUCUGGAUCAAACUUCCCAUGUAUACCUGAUAUGCCCAGAUUUGAAUACUGGUGGGUUUUGAGGGGAAUUGGCCUGGACAUUUGGUAGUAGUAGGUGCUGAGAUUUAUAGUUCACCUGCAAUUGAACCCCACCCAAGAUGGACCAGGACCAAACUUGGCACACAGAGUCCCCAUAACCAAUAGAACAUAUUGGACAAGUUUGGGGAAAAGGGACUUAUAGUUCACCUGCAUCCAGAGAAACAGUGACCCCCACCGACAAUGGACCAGGACCACACUUCGCACAGAGAAACCACAUGACCAACUGAACAUAAUGCAGGUGUUUUUGGGAAUGGACCUUUAUUUUAGGAGUUGUAGUUCACCUGCAUCCAAAGACCACUGAACCCAGCCAGUGACAGAUCUGGACCAAACUUGGCACACAGACUGAACAUUGCCUGCUGUGGAUACUGAGAGAUGUUUCGGGGCAAUUGCCCUGGGACCCUGGGAGUUGUAUUAGUUCACCCCCAUCCAGAGAGUACUGCAGCACACCUGGUACACAGGUCCUAAAUGACCAACUUAUAAUACUGGCAGGGUUUGGGGAAGAUUGAGCCACGAUUCUGGGAAUUGUACUUCUCCCAUUCCAAACAGAAUACAUAACAUUGAAAGACAAAUAAUACCAUUCGCAAAUGACCCAGGCACUGCCGGGUCCCCAAGCUAGUACACAAUAAAAUACAAUCACAAUUAAAACAUAUAGACAAAAUCAUAAAACAUAUAAUACAUUAAAACAUACUUGAGCAAUAGCUAAUAGGUGCAGUGAGCAUAUUCCACUGGGGGCAAGGCAAAUGUUGUUUGUGUACAAUAUCUUAUAAACCUCAACUGAAUGGACCAGAAGAAGUGCAGUAACUGGGUCUAGGUGGAGGUAAGGGACAGUCAAUGUAUGCCAAUUUAAUCAAACACACAUUUAAAUAGCCAGGUUUUCAGAUGUUUACAGAAUGUGGCCAGCGUGGGGGCUAGUCUAAUUUCUCUCUGGAGGGAGUUCCAGAGCCGGGGGGCCACCGCCGAGAAGGCCUCCUCCCUCGUCCCCACCAACCAUGUUUGAGACGGCCGGAAGCGAGAUGAGGGCCUCCCCAGCAGAUCUCAGAGACUGCGCAGGCUCGUAGUAGGAAAUGCCAUCACAAAGAUAAGCCAGACUCGAACUGUUUAAAGCUUUAUAGGUGAUAAAAUGUCUUAAAUGCCCUUAUAUACCCUUUAGGGGGACAUGGUGGUAUUUCCAUUGCGUUGGUAGGCCAUUUUAUGCUUAAGAGAGGCCUUUUUAACCAACGUGAAGUGCUUUCUGAAAAAGGUCUCUUCUGGAAUUAAAUGUUGUUGGAACCACAUGCAAAAUGGCAUACAAAAAGGCAUGCAUUUUUUAAAAAAAAUUCUGGCUAAAUUUUUUGAAAACCCUUUUUUUACCCUGGGGGUGCAGGGCCUCUAAAUAUACAUUCUAAAAUUUUAUUUUGGGGAUAUUUUGUAGCAAAAGAAGUUUGGGGAAGGAGACAUUAAUUUUUUUUUGCAAAAUAAUGUUUAAUGCCCUAGUAACUACCACAUUUUGCUCACCCUGUUUAAAGAGUGUUUUAAAAUAGGAUUUAUGUUGUGUUUUCAAAUUUCUUGUAACCAAGAUGGCCUUAUGCUGGAACAAACCAUUGAUUCUUCUGUCGAAGUUAUAUCAUGGAAGUCCAGGAUCUCAGAUGAAAUCAUUCUUAUCCCUUCAAUCUUGAUAGUACUAAAGUUGACCAUUGGGCAUUCCCCAUGCAAAGCGUGGGUUCUUUUAUUGACCUGUUGCCCUUUGCAUUUGAAAAAAAAUAACUGUAGUAGCUAGCAAGACACCACAGCCAUAUCAAAAAGAGAAACUGCAAACAACGUGUGAUUGUUAAAAAAUUGGCAAUAUUUGGAACGAGUCUUAUUGUUUCCAUCCCCCAAAAAGAGGCUGUGCCCAUCAUUUUUCUAUAUCAAGAGAUGAUAUUGAAACCUCUUGACUGUAAGUCUGAAAGUUGUGGUCUCAUCUAAUUCAGUGGAAAUGCUUUUGAAUUUAAAACCUGAAGCAGAACUAAAAUGUUGUUUAAUACUAGAUGUGAGAGCUGAAAAGGUUACUUUUUUGAUCGCAACUUCAAGAACCUGAUACUACAUUUCUGUGCUAUAAAUGUAGGAAGCAUUACACUAGAUAUUUCACAUUCCCAAUUCCAUUGCUGGAAAUUUUCAUUCUGGAUCAGAGCUGCUUGUUUUUCCCUUGGUGCCUGAUCUGUCACUUCUGACACUGCAGACCUCAUAUGGGAAUGGUUGGAAUAAGUUUCUCCAGAACAGAUAAGAGUAUAUCCCCGGAUGUUUUGGCCUUCAACUCCCAGAAAUCCUAACAGCUGGUAAACUGGUUGGGAUUUCUGAGAGUUGUAGGCCUGGGGACCCACCUGGGGACCCACAGGUUGAGAACGACUGCUUUAGAAAGCUGCAUCAAACAGCUCUACAUAGUAAAUGUAGCUCCAGCUAGUAAGUCCUCAGCUCAGUUAUAUCCCCUUGCACCCUCUGAUUUGUAUUUCCUAGAGAUUAAUCCAAGCUGCUGUUGGUGUGUCUUGUUUUUCACUUCUCUGUGUGUCUUGCCCUUAACAAAUCAUGGAUCACUUCCCCACAUUCUUAGUGAUGUUGAGAAGUACUCAACUGCAUACAAUAUGGCUGAACUUCUUUGGAGUUCAUCAAGCUUUAAUGAGCUUCAUAAUUUUUUCGGCAGUGUUCAAUUUCAAAACAUAUGGUAAAUGUCAUUUUAAUCCACACUUCCUUAUUUAAUGAAACGACAAUAAACCAGUCUCUUUAUAGGUUUUUGUGGUAAGACACUUCAGCAUUUUGUCUAUUGAUCUAUAUGAUUUUGAAACAGAUUUUCCACAUCACAUUUAUACCUUACGCAUUUCAGAUGGCAACAUCUGUUUUUCUGACACUUAAGAAACACAAGCAAAACAUGAAAUGCAUGGAACAUUUAAAGGGGAGGCGAGCAUGUGUAUAAAACAUUUGUGGAGAUGUGACAUGGUACAUUGGACUCAGGCUAUGGAUAUCAAGAAAGUUUGCAUAUUUUAUCUUCCUUGACUGAAAUAUACCUGUAUAUCAUCUCAUUCUAUUUUCAUAGUGAUUUUUUUUUUGCAUUUGGGUUUUUCCCCCCAAAAUUGUUUGUUAAAAAAAUCAAAUGUUUUUGUGCGAAAUACAGGGUUUUGCACAAAAAAUGUGUUGUGCAAAAAAUGUUCUUGUACAAAGAAAUGUAUUCUGCACAAAGUACAAUUUUUUUUUUACAGAAAUGAAAUUUUCACCAGAAACACCUUGCAUUUUUUAAUUUCAUGUGCAGGAACAAAAUAAGCACAAAUUUAUGCUGCUGGCUUACACAAUAUUCUCCUAAAUUGUUUCCUCCUUUUUAUGUUCUGAGAUAGUGGUGUUGCUCUUGACUGGUAGUAUCUGACCAAUCUCUAGAUUUAUGGUUUAGCGGCAGCACUUUAUAAAGAUUUGAACUUGAAUUAGACAUCUCAGUGUUAAACCCAGUGCAGAGAACAGUUAAUGCUUUUAUUACCUGCUACUGUAACUCAUCCUUCCCUUCUAAUGCAGACUGUGAACAUAUACUGUUCUAAUGCAGAAUGUGAGUUCACUCUUAUACAGAUUGAGCAUCCCUUAUUGGGAAAUGUGAAAUCCAAAAUACUUCAUUAUUUGAAAUUGUUCUAAUUGGUGGCUGAGAUAUCAACGCGUUUGCUUACUAAAGGUUCACUGUACACAAAUUUUCUUUCAUGCACAAAAUUAAUUACAAAUAUUGUAUAAAAUUAUCUUCAGGCUAUGUGUAUGUGAAACAAAUUCAUUUUUAGAUUUCGGUUCCAUCUCCAAGAGAUCACAUUUUGUAUGUGUAUGCAAAUUCAGGUAUUCCAAAAUCUGAAAAAAAAUCCAAUUCUGGCCCCACGCAUUUUGGAGAAGGUAUACUCAAUCUGUACAAACUAAUGCAUGUUGUUGUUGUUGGUUAUUCGUUCAAUUGCUUAUGUAGCUUAUGCACAUGCACAUGCUACACAAAUCUGCUAAAAACCUCAGACCAAUUCAGUGAACCAUUUUGCUAUAUCUCUACAAUGAACUUUUUUUUUUGGACUGGCAAAACUCUUUACUGCAUUUCCUAGGAUUCUUUAAGGGAAGUAUGUUAUGACUGUAAACUUCAGCUCUGUAGUAGAUGAUGAUAAUAAU